UGGUGCUCGAUAUUACUUAACCAUAUUUAAUAGUUAUAAGGUUGGUUCUGUGUCAAGUGUAGUACCAUGGAUAUUCACAGUUGCAGCUAGUACCACAUAUCGCCGGAUUGACAGCAUUGUUCUUGCAAACGGAAAGAAACUAGUCGGGCACUCUACGAACACGUUCACAUUAAAUGGAACAAAUUUCCUCUCAUAUAUGGAAAAGAUGCUUCAAGAACAAAUUGCUCUCAAAUGCUAGCUAGGGUCCCUCAAGCGACGAUAUUACAAAGUGAAGUCAUAAAAGAUGUUGCUGCGCCUCUUGUUUCUAUCACGUCUGCGACUGGACCGAAUUUAGUUGACUAUGUUAUGAAUUUGAUGAUUCUUCAUCUCCUAGACUGUUGUAUUUAUUUGACUAUGUAGUUCCAGGGUGAGCAGAUGAAGGCCCACGGCGAAGGGAUGAGGACCUAUACGGGGACAGUGAGAGACCUUGUACGAGUCAUGUCCAACCUCCAAAUCUCGCUACUAGCACUUAAUCUUGCUCCACCAUCGACCUCAGAGCCACCUCACCUUGCCGAUACUCAGUAGCUUGAUGUAUUAAACCUAGAAGACUACUUGUAGUUUUUUCUUUUUUGUUCGAACAUCUUGUAUGUACAUUUUAUAUAUUUUAUAAUUAAAUACU